AACGAACGCUGGCGGCAUGCCUAACACAUGCAAGUCGAACGAGACCUUCGGGUCUAGUGGCGCACGGGCGCGUAACGCGUGGGAAUCUGCCCUAGGGUGCGGAAUAACUCGGAGAAAUCCGUGCUAAUACCGCAUAAUGUCUUCGGACCAAAGAUUUAUCGCCCUGGGAUGAGCCCGCGUAAGAUUAGCUAGUUGGUGGGGUAAAGGCCUACCAAGGCGACGAUCUUUAGCUGGUCUGAGAGGAUGAUCAGCCACACUGGGACUGAGACACGGCCCAGACUCCUACGGGAGGCAGCAGUGGGGAAUAUUGGACAAUGGGCGAAAGCCUGAUCCAGCAAUGCCGCGUGAGUGAUGAAGGCCCUAGGGUUGUAAAGCUCUUUUACCCGGGAUGAUAAUGACAGUACCGGGAGAAUAAGCUCCGGCUAACUCCGUGCCAGCCGCCGCCGUAA
rnacentral:rRNA from 1 species